AGCAGCCGCGGUAAUUCCAGCUCCAAUAGCGUAUAUUAAAGUUGUUGCAGUUAAAAAGCUCGUAGUUGAAUUUCGGGAUCAAUACGUCGGUCGUGCUUCGGUACGUACUAACGUCAUUGAUUUCUCCCUUCUGACGAAUCGUGAUGUCAUUAAUUUGGUGUUACGGGGAGUUAGGACUGUUACUUUGAAAAAAUUAGAGUGUUUAAAGCAAGCAAUCGCUCGAAUACAUUAGCAUGGAAUAAUGAAAUAGGACGUUCGAACCUAUUUUGUUGGUUUCUAGGAUCGACGUAAUGAUUAAUAGGGAUAGUUGGGGGCAUUAGUAUUCAAUUGUCAGAGGUGAAAUUCUUGGAUUUAUUGAAGACUAACUACUGCGAAAGCAUUUGCCAAGGAUGUUUUCAUUAAUCAAGAACGAAAGUUAAGGGGGAUCGAAGACGAUCAGAUACCGUCGUAGUC
rnacentral:rRNA from 1 species